rnacentral:rRNA from 1 species
UACAUGGGGUGCAAACGUUGCUCGGAAUUAUUGGGCGUAAAGCGCACGUAGGCGGUUCGUUAAGUCGGAUGUGAAAGCCCUCGGCUCAACUGAGGAAGUGCACCCGAAACUGGCGAGCUUGAGUACGAAAGAGGAUCGCGGAAUUCCCGGUGUAGAGGUGAAAUUCGUAGAUAUCAGGAGGAACACCUGUGGUGUAGACGGCUUACUGGACCGCAACUGACGCUGAGACACGAAAGCGUGGGUAGCAAACAGG